CCAUACCACUCUGAACAUGCCUACUUUCAGAAGCUAAGCAGGGUCAGGCCUGGUAAGUACUUGGAUGAGGAACCAUCAGGUAAUACCAGGGG
rnacentral:rRNA from 1 species